GAGUUUGAUCGUGGCUCAGAUUGAACGCUGGCGGCGGGCCUAACACAUGCAAGUCGAGCGGUAGAGAGAAGCUUGCUUCUCUUGAGAGCGGCGGACGGGUGAGUAAUGCCUAGGAAUCUGCCUGGUAGUGGGGGAUAACGCUCGGAAACGGACGCUAAUACCGCAUACGUCCUACGGGAGAAAGCAGGGGACCUUCGGGCCUUGCGCUAUCAGAUGAGCCUAGGUCGGAUUAGCUAGUUGGUGAGGUAAUGGCUCACCAAGGCGACGAUCCGUAACUGGUCUGAGAGGAUGAUCAGUCACACUGGAACUGAGACACGGUCCAGACUCCUACGGGAGGCAGCAGUGGGGAAUAUUGGACAAUGGGCGAAAGCCUGAUCCAGCCAUGCCGCGUGUGUGAAGAAGGUCUUCGGAUUGUAAAGCACUUUAAGUUGGGAGGAAGGGCAGUAAAUUAAUACUUUGUCUGCUUUGACGUUACCGACAGAAUAAGCACCGGCUAACUACUGUGCCAGCACG
rnacentral:rRNA from 1 species